AACGCACAUUGCGGCCAUAGGUAUUCCUUUGGCCAUGCCUGUUCGAGCGUCAUUUACACCCUCAAGCCUAGCUUGGUGUUGGGCGUCUGUCCCGCCGAUUUCUCGCGCGCGGACUCGCCUCAAAGUCAUUGGCCGCGGUCGUGCCAGCCCCCUCGCGCAGCACAUUUUGCGCUUCUCGGAGGCUCGGCGGAUCCCGCGCUCCAGCAAGGACCUUUCACGACUUGACCUCGGAUCAGGUAGGAGUACCCGCUGAACUUAA
rnacentral:misc_RNA from 1 species